AGUGAAGACCGAGGAUGGGUACGAGGAAGUUGGGAGUGUAUCGGAGACUGUGACAGACCAGCUGAGUGAUGACAACGACCCUGGCUCCAUCCCUGUGUCGGACAUUCUGUCACCACCCUCCAUCACCAGCAAACCAAGCAAGCCCAAGAAGAGGAAGAGAUGAGGAAAAAGGAGACUGACAAGAUAGCUGAUAGAAAGAAAGCAUGGUUGAAGUGACAUGGACCAUAACACAGACAGCAGCGUCUCCAUCACCCCGAGCACGGAGUCGGACAUCAGUGUGGUGCUUCAUCAGCUCGGAUACAGGACAUGGAUGUGUCAGUGGGUGUACAGGGUUAUCUCCCUUGUGUCACUGACCACCUGAGGAAUGAAUUGAUGGCGGCGACUGUGUGUGUCAGGACAACAUGAAGUGUGACAGAUAUGUGUUGACAUUGAAGUGAAAGGUUCCAUUGGAAGGAUAUUGAUCAUUUCCACAGACUUCUGGAAAGUAGAACUUUGGCCUAGAUUGAUAUAUAUUUAUAUAUAAAGAGGUGUUUGAGAGCAUGAAACUGUAUGUGAAAACUGUAUGUGAAUAAGAAAAGUUUGAUACGUUUUUGUCUGUGAGAAAAGUUUGCCAGGACGAGAAUACCAUGAUCAAAAUAUAAGCCAUGAUAGACUACUCAGAGUCUGGUAUCGAGGCAAUGCUGAUACCAUGGUUACUGGUCAGCACUUUUGAUAUAAGAAAGUGUGAGUGAGUUUAUGUAGGUUCGGUCUGCUCAAUGAACAAAAUAUUAACUUAAGAAAAGAUACGGAUCUGCCCUUGUGAGCGGACUGACUGUUUCACAAAACCUCCUUCAGAAAAAAAAACAAAGUUAUCAUCGUCAUUGCCCAUCUCGCCAUGUUAUUGCAUCUGUUCUGUUUCCAUCAAGUAUCCUAUGCAUAGCAAUAACAAAGUAACAAUACUAUAAAAGUCAAAAUAUGCAGACAAAACGAAGGGAGGUAACUCGAUUUUUCAUUAACUACAUUUUGUUGUAUGCAGCAACUGCUAUUAAACAGGUACCAGCCAUUA